rnacentral:rRNA from 1 species
ACAGAGGUCCCAAGCGUUGUUCGGAUUCACUGGGCGUAAAGGGUGCGUAGGCGGCAUGGAAAGUUUGGUGUGAAAGCUCCGGGCUCAACCCGGAAAUUGCACUGAAUACUACCAAGCUAGAGGAUUGGAAGGGAGACUGGAAUUCUUGGUGUAGCAGUGAAAUGCGUAGAUAUCAAGAGGAACAUCAGUGGCGAAGGCGAGUCUCUGGACAAUUCCUGACGCUGAGGCACGAAGGCUAGGGGAGCAAACAGG